rnacentral:rRNA from 1 species
ACUCCUACGGGAGGCAGCAGUGGGGAAUAUUGGACACUGGGCGCAAGCCUGAUCCAGCCAUGCCGCGUGAGUGAUGAAGGCCCUAGGGUUGUAAAGCUCUUUCACCGGAGAAGAUAAUGACGGUAUCCGGAGAAGAAGCCCCGGCUAACUUCGUGCCAGCAGCCGCGGUAAUACGAAGGGGGCUAGCGUUGUUCGGAAUUACUGGGCGUAAAGCGCACGUAGGCGGAUCGAUCAGUCAGGGGUGAAAUCCCAGGGCUCAACCCUGGAACUGCCUUUGAUACUGUCGAUCUGGAGUAUGGAAGAGGUGAGUGGAAUUCCGAGUGUAGAGGUGAAAUUCGUAGAUAUUCGGAGGAACACCAGUGGCGAAGGCGGCUCACUGGUCCAUUACUGACGCUGAGGUGCGAAAGCGUGGCGAGCAAACAGGAUUAGAAACCCUAGUAGUCCC